AUUAUCAGCUGAUUAUAGAGGAGAAGUUUUGUCAGUGUCCGAUGGGUACAAACGUCAUAUUGUGGAGCCUGCAUGCAUCACUUUUGCAUCGCAGAAGUACAAGGGAACCAGGCAGUAACAAAGAUGAAAGAUGCUGUUGUUGAAAGAUCCAGUCAAGCACUAAACUGACUAAACUGACUUGAAUGAUCAGACUCCUUAAAGAUGCAAAUCAAAUACAGGUUUUUGUCAGCUUAUCUGGAAAUCUUAGGACAUCACUGAUUUGAUCAAGAAUUCAUCCAGCGUGAAGACCAG